AUUAUGGUUUUCGAUUGUUUGUUUCAACCCGACCUAGAAGUAAAGAUUAUAAGUGAGUUCCUUCUUCUAACUGAGACUAAUGAAGCUAAUCCAAUGUUUGGAUCACAAAUAAUAUCUUAUUCUUUUUUUACAUCCAUCAUCGGAGAUAGUAUAAGAGAAAAUAAAAAGAUUAUUUAGGAUAACAUCUUGAUCUCAAUAAUAAAUUUAGAUACAUUUCUAAAUAUUCACUUAUUGAUUAUUGGUGAUAUAAUAUAAAUAUAUAAUGAUUUUCACCCAAGAUUAUUUUCUAACAAAUAUGUGUGAAAAUGAUUGAAAAGAAAUAUAUAAUUGUUUAAUGUAUCUUUCUGCAGAAGCAUAUAUGCUCUGCAUGGCCAUGGAUUGCAGAAUUGGCCCUCAACACUCAAAGAGAAACGCUCGUGGAAUGACAUUGACGGAUGGGACUUGGGAACAAGUAAUAGUUCAAACUUCAGAAUGCAUUAAUGCUGUGUUUAUUUGUCGGUGUGUUUAUUUGUUGGAGUGGGAGUGAGGAUUCAGAGUUUACUUUUUUUAAAUGGGAAGAGAGUGAGAAUACCAUUUUGUGGGCCCCAUUUAUUUUUAGAGUGGAGAGUGGGGAGUGGAAGUGGGAAUCCACUCCCACCUCUCCCUUUU
rnacentral:lncRNA from 1 species